CUGUUAUGUCGAUGGUGUGAG
rnacentral:siRNA from 1 species